UACGUAGGGUGCAAGCGUUGUCCGGAAUUAUUGGGCGUAAAGAGCUCGUAGGCGGUUUGUCGCGUCGGAUGUGAAACCCCGGGGCUUAACCCCGGGCCUGCAUUCGAUACGGGCUGACUAGAGUUCGGCAGGGGAGACUGGAAUUCCUGGUGUAGGCGGUGAAAUGCGCAGAUAUCAGGAGGAACACCGGUGGCGAAGGCGGGUCUCUGGGCCGAUACUGACGCUGAGGAGCGAAAGCGUGGGGAGCAAACAGG
rnacentral:rRNA from 1 species